rnacentral:lncRNA from 1 species
UCCAGACUAAAUUUAUAGGUGCGCUUUAUUUCCAUACCUCAUGAGGGUCUUAUAUGGACAUAAUAAAAUUUCAGUAUCAAUUUUAGUUUUUUUAACAAAGACAUUAUAUAAACUUUACCGUUUAUAGAAAAAGUAAAUUUAUACAUAUCUAUUAAAUAUCAUAUCUAUUAAAUAUAAUAUUUUAUUAAAAAAUUAUCAAAAAUAUCCUACGUCAAAUUUUAUUGAAAAAAACAUUUUUUUUAAAAAAACCUUAUUCGCUAACACCUUUCACGGUUUUGUAAGGACCGUGAUCUUUUUCACUGUUCAUUUAUUUAAAAAACCAUCAUGGCACUAGUCGAAACGUGAUAUGCUUUUAAACCACAAAGUGAUCACAAUUUUGUUAGAAUCAUGAUCGUUUUAAACUAGAAAGCCAUUACAAUUUUAACAGGACUGCGAUCCUUUAAAACUUCACACUGCAAUUUUUGUAAGUGG